rnacentral:rRNA from 1 species
GAUGAACGCUGGCGGCGUGCCUAAUACAUGCAAGUCGAGCGAACGGACGAGAAGCUUGCUUCUCUGAUGUUAGCGGCGGACGGGUGAGUAACACGUGGAUAACCUACCUAUAAGACUGGGAUAACUUCGGGAAACCGGAGCUAAUACCGGAUGAUAUUUUGAACCGCAUGGUUCAAAAGUGAAAGACGGUCUUGCUGUCACUUAUAGAUGGAUCCGCGCUGCAUUAGCUAGUUGGUAAGGUAACGGCUUACCAAGGCAACGAUGCAUAGCCGACCUGGGAGGGUGAUCAGCAACACAGGAACUGAAACACGAUCCGUAUUCCUACGGAGGGCAGCAGUAGGGAAGCUUCCGCAAUGGGCGAAAGCCGUACGGAGUAACGCCGCGUGAGUGAUGAAGGUCUUCGGAUCGUAAAACUCUGUUAUUAGGGAAGAACAUUUGUGUAAGUAACUGUGCACAUCUUGACGGUACCUAAUCAGAAAGCCACGGCUAACUACGUG